rnacentral:rRNA from 1 species
GACGAACGCUGGCGGCGUGCUUAACACAUGCAAGUCGAACGGAAAGGCCCUGCUUUUGUGGGGUGCUCGAGUGGCGAACGGGUGAGUAACACGUGAGUAACCUGCCCUUGACUUUGGGAUAACUUCAGGAAACUGGGGCUAAUACCGGAUAGGAGAUCCUGCUGCAUGGUGGGCGUUGGAAAGUUUCGGCGGUUGGGGAUGGACUCGCGGCUUAUCAGCUUGUUGGUGGAGUAGUGGCUUACCAAGGCUUUGACGGGUAGCCGGCCUGAGAGGGUGACCGGGCACAAUGGGACUGAGAUACGGCGCAGACUCGUACGGGAGGCAGCAGUGGGGAGUCUGGCGCAAUGGGCGGAAGCCUGAUACAGCAACGCCGCGUGCGGGAUGACGGGCUUCGGGUUGUAAACCGCUUUCGCCUGUGACGAAGCGUGAGUGACGGUAAUGGGUAAGAAAGCACCGGCUAACUACGUG